UACGAAGGAUGCAAGCGUUAUCCGGAAUGAUUGGGCGUAAAGGGUCCGCAGGUGGCAGUGUAAGUCUGCUGUCAAAGAAUGAGGCUUAACCUCAUCAAGGCAGUGGAAACUACACAGCUAGAGUACGGUCGGGGUAGAAGGAAUUCCUGGUGUAGCGGUGAAAUGCGUAGAGAUCAGGAAGAACACCGGUGGCGAAAGCGUUCUGCUAGACCUGUACUGACACUGAGGGACGAAAGCUAGGGGAGCGAAUGGG
rnacentral:rRNA from 1 species